AUACGGAGGGUGCAAGCGUUAUCCGGAUUUAUUGGGUCUAAAGGGUGCGCAGGCGGACCUGUCAGUCAGUGGUGAAAUCCCGGGGCUCAACCCCGGAACUGCCAUUGAUACUACAGGUCUUGAAUACGGUUGAAGUAGGCGGAAUGUAGCAUGUAGCGGUGAAAUGCAUAGAUAUGCCACAGAACACCGAUCGCGAAGGCAGCUUACUAAGCCGAUAUUGACGCUCAGGCACGAAAGCGUGGGGAGCAAACAGGAUUAGAAACCCUAGUAGUCC
rnacentral:rRNA from 1 species